rnacentral:RNase_P_RNA from 1 species
GGUCUGUCGCCGGCCCUUGGAGGGCGGGAGGAAAGUCCGGGCAGCAAAGGGUGCCUCACUUCUGAAAGUGGAAGCUGCCGGUGACGGCAGGUGAGGGCAGAAGAAAAGAACCGCCCUGAGAAAUCGGGGUAAGGGUGAGAAGGUGGUGUAAGAGACCACCAGCCGUCGGGUGAUCGGCGGGCUGUGCCUGCUGGGGGCUGCAAGUUCAUGUAAACCAUCGUCUGAGGGUUGCCCGCCCGAAUCAUGAUCUGUUACGAUGGAGGGUAGAACGCUUGAGCCGUCUGGUGACAGGCGGAUUAGAUAAAUGACGGACACUGUAUCUUGCGGAGACGCAUAUACGGAGACAGAACCCGGCUUAUAGGAGCAC